rnacentral:rRNA from 1 species
AAGUCGAGCGAACGGACGAGAAGCUUGCUUCUCUGAUGUUAGCGGCGGACGGGUGAGUAACACGUGGAUAACCUACCUAUAAGACUGGGAUAACUUCGGGAAACCGGAGCUAAUACCGGAUAAUAUUUUGAACCGCAUGGUUCAAAAGUGAAAGACGGUCUUGCUGUCACUUAUAGAUGGAUCCGCGCUGCAUUAGCUAGUUGGUAAGGUAACGGCUUACCAAGGCAACGAUGCAUAGCCGACCUGAGAGGGUGAUCGGCCACACUGGAACUGAGACACGGUCCAGACUCCUACGGGAGGCAGCAGUAGGGAAUCUUCCGCAAUGGGCGAAAGCCUGACGGAGCAACGCCGCGUGAGUGAUGAAGGUCUUCGGAUCGUAAAACUCUGUUAUUAGGGAAGAACAUAUGUGUAAGUAACUGUGCACAUCUUGACGGUACCUAAUCAGAAAGCCACGGCUAACUACGUGCCAGCAGCCGCGGUAAUACGUAGGUGGCAAGCGUUAUCCGGAAUUAUUGGGCGUAAAGCGCGCGUAGGCGGUUUUUUAAGUCUGAUGUGAAAGCCCACGGCUCAACCGUGGAGGGUCAUUGGAAACUGGAAAACUUGAGUGCAGAAGAGGAAAGUGGAAUUCCAUGUGUAGCGGUGAAAUGCGCAGAGAUAUGGAGGAACACCAGUGGCGAAGGCGACUUUCUGGUCUGUAACUGACGCUGAUGUGCGAAAGCGUGGGGAUCAAACAGGAUUA